GGAAGUAAAAGUCGUAACAAGGUUUCCGUAGGUGAACCUGCGGAAGGAUCAUUCACAAUACAAAAUCUCACACCAUGUGAACCCCGCUAAUGGCUCUGCCAUUGGCAAUUACACAUACCUGUCUGUUUGGUAUGUGGCUGUGCAAACAGUUUUCAGACAACUUGUGGUGGUUUUAUCCAAUGAUAUUCAUAAGCUCUAUACACUAUUAGCGGUGGAUGUCUUGGCUCCCACAACGAUGAAGGCCGCAGCAAAAUGCGAAACGCAUUGUGAUUAGCGGAAUUCUGUGAAUCAAUAGGUCGCUGAACGCAAACGGCACUACUGCGUGAGCAGUAGUAGGUCUGCUUCAGUCUCAUUUGCAAUCUCAUCAAACAAUUUGUAUUAACGUACAAGUUGCUAUUGUUGAGGUAAUGUGCUGCUCGAUACGUCUGGCAGUCGCAGUGUUCUAUAACAGUUCCUAAGUUAACAUAUUGGUUUCAACUAUGUUGCUAAAGAACUACUACGUUAUAGCGUACUAAACUACAUGAGCUGAAAUCAGACCAGGCUACCCGCUGGACUUAAGCAUAUUAGUCAGCGGAGGA
rnacentral:rRNA from 1 species